rnacentral:tRNA from 1 species
ACUUAGAUAGCUUAACCAAAGCAUCGGUCUUGUAAGCCGAAGAUGAGAAAUAAUCCUCUCUCAAAGUG